AGAGCCUGGGUGUACGACAUUCCUCUCCACGUGAAUCUCUCUAUUAGUCCGAAGUUCACUAAUUUAUUGUGGAGUCUUUCGCUGAAUUAGAGGAGGAGUCCGCUCCCCUACGCCAGAAUCCUGACUGCUGAGAAAGGAUGCUCGCAGCAAGAACCAGGCUUGCAUUCCCGGCAAUCGGAGAGCUUCGAUACGCGGACGGUGAUCUUUCCAUCAUUCGUGUCGCUGUCGGAUUUUUACAACAGCCGUUGGCGCUGAAUUCAUCAAAUGUCUUCCAAUUCUGCCUCUUGAAUGAGUGUUUGCGGUUCGUGUUGAUCGCUGCAAUGGCGGCCACUGGUGGGGGUAUACCACGGCUACUUCGGGCAGUCUGACUCUCCGGGCAGAGGCAAGACAGCGUGGAUAAUCACAGGGAUUUUCGUGUGGCAGUGUCACUGGAACUGUUCUGCAGAGCAUUUUCUAUCAAAGGCGGAAAUAUGGGACAAAGCCCCUGCGAAUUCCUUGGUUCUCUGUCGAGGUCACCCGUCCCGAUCUGUAGGCGGCUGGACACGUCGUCACCGCGUUAACCACGGGAUCCGUGCACAUGAGAUGCUUAUGGCCACUACAUCCAGUGUUUUAUUCGUGGUCUCCGGUGAUGAAAUGCUAACGUUUUUGUAAAGUCGGGUGUCAAUCGAACCAUUUGGGGCCGCUGCUGUGCCACCAUUCUUCAACUGGCCCCGUGCAGGUGUAGCGCUGUCCUGAUUACGGCUAGAGCAGUCGGCCUUGAUACAAACAGCUUUCCGGUUG
rnacentral:lncRNA from 1 species